GUGUCAGCAGCCGCGGUAAUACGAAGGCCCCAAGCGUUAUCCGGAUUUAUUGGGCGUAAAGCGUGUGUAGGGGGUCCGAUGCGUCUUUUGUUAAAUCUCACCGCUCAACGGUGAGGCCGCAAAGGAUACGAUCGGACUAGAGGAUGUUAGAGGCUGAUGGAACACACAGUGUAGGGGUGAAAUCCGUUGAUAUUGUGUGGAACACCAAAGGCGAAGGCAUUCAGCUGGGGCAUUCCUGACCCUCAGACACGAAAGCGUGGGGAGCAAAAAGGAUUAGAUACCCUUGUAGUCCACGCCGUAAACGAUGCCGACUAGCUGUUUCGAGUAUCGACCCUCGGAGUGGCGAAGCUAACGCGUUAAGUCGGCCGCCUGGGAAGUACGGCCGCAAGGCUAAAACUCAAAGGAAUAGACGGGGACUCGCACAAGCGGUGGAGCAUGAGGUUUAAUUCGACAAUAAGCGAAGAACCUUACCAGGGUUUGACAUUCUACUGAAAGCUUUCCGAAAGGAAAGCCCUCUCUCAAGGACAGUAGGACAGGUGCUGCACGGUUGUCGUCAGCUCGUGAUUUGAAUUGUUCCCUUAGUGGGGUAACGAGCGCAACCCUUACUCUGUGUUAUAUGUGUCACAGAGGACUGCCCAGCCCUAAACUUGCAAGCAUAAUUGUUUGUUGGUUUUGGGCUGGGAGGAAGGCGGGGAUGACGUCAAAUCAGCGUGGCCCUUUGAUACCCUGGGCUACACUCGUGCUACAAUGGCCAGUACAAUGGGUUGCCAAGCCACAAGGCGGAGCUAAUCCCAUCAAAACUGGUCUCAGUUCGGAUUGAGGGCUGCAACUCGCCCUCAUGAAGCUGGAAUCGCUAGUAAUCGUGGGUCAGCUACACCACGGUGAAUACGUUCUC
rnacentral:rRNA from 1 species